rnacentral:rRNA from 1 species
UACGAAGGGGGCUAGCGUUGCUCGGAAUCACUGGGCGUAAAGGGUGCGUAGGCGGGUCUUUUAAGUCAGGGGUGAAAUCCUGGAGCUCAACUCCAGAACUGCCUUUGAUACUGAGGAUCUUGAGUUCGGGAGAGGUGAGUGGAACUGCGAGUGUAGAGGUGAAAUUCGUAGAUAUUCGCAAGAACACCAGUGGCGAAGGCGGCUCACUGGCCCGAUACUGACGCUGAGGCACGAAAGCGUGGGGAGCAAACAGGGAUUAAGAUACCC